rnacentral:rRNA from 1 species
CCUACGGGAGGCAGCAGUGGGGAAUAUUGCACAAUGGGGGAAACCCUGAUGCAGCGACGCAGCGUGAGUGAAGAAGUAUUUCUGUAUGUAAAGCUCUAUCAGCAUGGAAGAAAAUGACGGUACCUGAUUAAGAAGCCCCGGCUAACUACGUGCCAGCAGCCGCGGUAAUACGUAGGGUGCAAGCGUUAUCCGGAUUUACUGGGUGUAAAGGGAGCGUAGACGGCAGCACAAGUCUGGAGUGAAAUGCCUGGGCUUAACCCCGGAACUGCUUUGGAAACUGUGAAGCUAGAGUGCAGGAGAGGUAAGUGGAAUUCCUAGUGUAGCGGUGAAAUGCGUAGAUAUUAGGAGGAACACCAGUGGCGAAGGCGGCUUACUGGACUGUAACUGACGUUGAGGCUCGAAAGCGUGGGGAGCAAACAGGAUUAGAUUCCCGGGUAGUC